UCAACAUAUAGGAGGUCUUACCUGCCCAGUGACUACAAGUUAAACGGCCGCGGUAUUUUGACCGUGCAAAGGUAGCGUAAUCACUUGUCUUUUAAAUGAAGACCUGUAUGAAUGGUAGAACGAAGGCUUAACUGUCUCCCUCUUCAAGUCAAUGAAAUUGAUCUACCCGUGCAGAAGCGGGUAUAUACAUACAAGACGAGAAGACCCUAUGGAGCUUAAGAUGUAAAAUCAACUAUGUCAAGAUCUUCGGUUGGGGCGACCGCGGGAAACAACAAAACUCCCAUGCAGACCGGGAAGAAAACUAAGAGAAACAUCUCUAAGUCGCAGAACAUCUGACCAUCUCGCCGAUUAACGAACCAAGUUACCCUAGGGAUAACAGCGCAAUCCUCUUCCAGAGCCCAUAUCGACAAGAGGGUUUACGACCUCGAUGUUGGAUCAGGACAUCCUAAUGGUGCAGCCGCUAUUA
rnacentral:rRNA from 1 species